AGCGAACGCUGGCGGCAGGCUUAACACAUGCAAGUCGAGCGGACCUUUCGGGGUCAGCGGCGGACGGGUGAGUAACGCGUGGGAACGUGCCUUCUGGUUCGGAAUAACCCUGGGAAACUAGGGCUAAUACCGGAUACGCCCUUAUGGGGAAAAGUUUACUGCCGGAAGAUCGGCCCGCGUCUGAUUAGCUAGUUGGUGGGGUAACGGCCUACCAAGGCGACGAUCAGUAGCUGGUCUGAGAGGAUGAUCAGCCACACUGGGACUGAGACACGGCCCAGACUCCUACGGGAGGCAGCAGUGGGUAAUAUUGGACAAUGGGCGCAAGCCUGAUCCAGCCAUGCCGCGUGAGUGAUGAAGGCCCUAGGGUUGUAAAGCUCUUUUAUCCGGGACGAUAAUGACGGUACCGGAGGAAUAAGCCCCGGCUAACUUCGUGCCAGCCGCCGCCGUAAAAC
rnacentral:rRNA from 1 species